rnacentral:tRNA from 1 species
ACUUAAAUAGUUUAAUAAAAAUUAUGAUUUGUGGAUUCAUAGAUAUCUGCUAUUGAUUUUAAGUU